rnacentral:rRNA from 1 species
AGAUUGAACGCUGGCGGCAUGCCUAACACAUGCAAGUCGAACGAGAGUAGGGGGCAACCCUUACUUUAGUGGCGGACGGGUGCGGAAUGCGUAGGAAUCUACCUUAAAGUGGGGAAUAACCCGGGGAAACUCGAGCUAAUACCGCAUAUUCUCUACGGAGUAAAGGGGGCGCAAGCUCUCGCUUUAAGAUGAGCCUACGUCGGAUUAGCUAGUUGGUAGGGUAAAGGCCUACCAAGGCAAUGAUCCGUAGCUGGUCUGAGAGGAUGACCAGCCACACUGGGACUGAGAUACGGCCCAGACUCCUACGGGAGGCAGCAGUGGGGAAUAUUGGACAAUGGGGGAAACCCUGAUCCAGCAAUGCCGCGUGUGUGAAGAAGGCCUUCGGGUUGUAAAGCACUUUCAGUGGGGAGGAACGAUUCAGGGUUAAUACCCCUGAGUUUUGACGUUACCUACAGAAGAAGCACCGGCUAACUCUGUGCCAGCAGCCGCGGUAAUACAGAGGGUGCAAGCGUUAAUCGGAAUUACUGGGCGUAAAGCGUGCGUAGGCGGAUAUUUAAGUCGAAUGUGAAAUCCCUGGGCUUAACCUGGGAACUGCAUCCGAUACUGGGUAUCUGGAGUAUGAUAGAGGAAAGUGGAAUUCCCGGUGUAGCGGUGAAAUGCGUAGAUAUCGGGAGGAACAUCAGUGGCGAAGGCGACUUUCUGGAUCAAUACUGACGCUGAGGCACGAAAGCGUGGGGAGCAAACAGGAUUAGAUACCCUGGUAGUCCACGCUGUAAACUAUGAGAACUGGACGUUGGAGGGCUUGUCCCUUUAGUGUCGAAGCUAACGCGUUAAGUUCUCCG